rnacentral:rRNA from 1 species
GCUUAACACAUGCAAGUCGAACGCGAACGUUUUCUUCGGAAAACUAGUAGAGUGGCGCACGGGUGAGUAACGCGUAAGUAAUCUACCCUCGCAUCUGGGAUAACCCACCGAAAGGUGUGCUAAUACCUGAUACGUCUGGAAUUAUACAUUGAAUUCAGAGAAAGGUGGCCUCUUCAUGAAAGCUACUGUGCGGGGAGGAGCUUGCGUACCAUUAGCUAGUUGGUAGGGUAAGGGCCUACCAAGGCGAUGAUGGUUAGCGGGUCUGAGAGGAUGAUCCGCCACACUGGAACUGGAACACGGACCAGACUCCUACGGGAGGCAGCAGUGAGGAAUAUUGCGCAAUGGGGGCAACCCUGACGCAGCGACGCCGCGUGGAUGAUGAAGGCCUUCGGGUUGUAAAAUCCUGUCAGAUGGGAAGAAGUGGUACAUAUCCAAUACAUAUGUACUUUGACGGUACCAUCAAAGGAAGCACCGGCUAACUCCGUGCCAGCAGCCGCGGUAAUACGGAGGGUGCAAGCGUUGUUCGGAAUUACUGGGCGUAAAGCGCGCGUAGGCGGCUAUAUAAGUCAGAUGUGAAAGCCCGCGGCUCAACCGUGGAAGUGCAUUUGAAACUGUGUAGCUUGAGUACUGGAGGGGGUAGUGGAAUUCCCGGUGUAGAGGUGAAAUUCGUAGAUAUCGGGAGGAAUACCGGUGGCGAAGGCGACUACCUG